rnacentral:rRNA from 1 species
UACGUAGGGUGCGAGCGUUAAUCGGAAUCACUGGGCGUAAAGGGCGCGUAGGCGGCCUCUCUUGUCGCGUGUGAAAGCCCCGGGCUCAACCUGGGAAUUGCGAUGAAGACUGCAAGGCUUGAAUCUGGCAGAGGGGGGUAGAAUUCCACGUGUAGCAGUGAAAUGCGUAGAGAUGUGGAGGAACACCGAUGGCGAAGGCAGCCCCCUGGGUCAAGAUUGACGCUCAUGCACGAAAGCGUGGGGAGCAAACAGG